UGAACAUCGAGAGGAGCCUUGGAUUGUGAGUCUGCGUCACUGUGUCUAUGUUAUACUAUUAUUUCCAUAUUGUUGUGGACUAUGAGUGAAGCAGCACAGCACGCACAGUCAAUAAGCUGGACGAGGCCUCUUGGCUGCCCGCCGAGAGGAGCCAGCAGUCAGUAUGCAGUCACGCCCGGGCGCACGCGCACUUAUUCAGGACCUAAUGAGGCCUUGGGAGAUGGGUCGGCGAAGCGUGGGGCGUUAUUAAAACAUUCCAAAGAUGCCGUGGUUGUUUCUACUCUUCACAAAAGACACUCCUCUCUUGUAAAGCGCACGCAGCAUCACUGCGAAUGUCAAGGCAUGUUAAACCGGUGUAGAGCGUCUUUUCAAAGCAGUGCUAUUGCUGCACUUCACAUGCAAGUGUUUAAAACAUUUGACAAAUACUAAACAGGAAGGACAGCGUGAUUGGGAUAUAGAAAAACGCUAGCGGAAGCACACGCAGACACGCAGAAAGGAAGAGCCCGAGUGUCAGAACUAUUCCGCAUGGCGAGAGAGGCCCUGACUCCUCUUCAAAGCCACCCGGCUGACACUGGCUAAUGAUGAACACUCAGAUGAAGAGCAAGGAGACAGCGAUCCAGACUCCACAGUUAAAAAAAAAAAAGGCCUCUUCCCGCCUUUCACACCAGAGAUAAAAGACGGGAACUCGUGCCCGGCUGCACCUAAUGUGCGUUUAAGCGCUCAUACAUACAUACGUAAAUGCGUACACAGGCAGACACACUUAUCAUGCAAAUGUAGAAUAAUUACAGUCUCGUCUGAGGGGAGAAAGCUGGGUUGGCUUUUGAAGAUAGCGAUGCUCAAAAGAUUCAUUGAUGUUACGCUGGGUAAUGGAGGAGAGACAUUAACAGGCUCAGAACUGGUCUCUCUCAUUCUCUGGCUCUCUCAAAAUCCAAACCUUCUGUGGACUAUGAAGUGUAUUUUAACCUGCCGAUAGGAGAGUGAAAAAUGUUUUCUUUUGGUGUUUUUAGAGUGGAGUAAUGAUGAAUGAAAUCACUCUGUGAUGUCCAAAAAUGUGAAUAUUAGGUCAAAUUUUUAUUUUGAAAAAAAGAAAAGAAAAAUAUAGUCAAAAUAUGUUGUGGUGAAAAAUGUCAUGGACAAAAAAAACAAUUGGGUCAAAUUUAUAUUUUGAAAAAAAAGAAAAAAGAAAUAGUCAAAAUAUGUUGUGGUGUAAAAUGU
ensembl:lncRNA